rnacentral:rRNA from 1 species
CCUACGGGAGGCAGCAGUAGGGAAUGUUCGUCAAUGGGCGCAAGCCUGAACGAGCGAUGCCGCGUGAGUGAAGAAGGCCUUCGGGUCGUAAAGCUCUGUUGCGGGGGAAAAAAGGCAGCAUCAGGAAAUGGGUGCUGACUGAUGGUGCCCCGCCAGAAAGUCACGGCUAACUACGUGCCAGCAGCCGCGGUAAUACGUAGGUGGCGAGCGUUAUCCGGAAUGAUUGGGCGUAAAGGGUGCGCAGGCGGUCCGGGAAGUCUGGAGUGAAACGCAUGAGCUCAACUCAUGCAUGGCGUUGGAAACUGGAGGACUGGAGGGCAGGAGAGGGCGGUGGAACUCCAUGUGUAGCGGUGAAAUGCGUAGAUAUAUGGAAGAACACCAGUGGCGAAGGCGGCCGCCUGGCCUGUUGCUGACGCUGAGGCACGAAAGCGUGGGGAGCAAAUAGGAUUAGAUACCCUUGUAGUC